CCGGCAGCUUGUACAGACCAAAGUACUACUGAUGCCGUCGCUCGCCAGUCGAUUCCAGCUCCAAGCACCAAAAAUGACCAAAAAGGAGAGAAGAAAUCUAUUGUCAAACUUCCUCCGAAAGUUCAUGUUAGAUCCGAGGCACCCUACCCACACUUGAAAAAGUUUUUCCGCGCGGGGCCUGGGCUUGAUGAUACAGAAAUUGAAGUAAUUGGUCACGUGACAAAGAAGAAGAAACGAAGCGAAACGAAGAAGAAAAAGAAGAGAAAGCGACAUCUUAGUGAAUAGAAGAAAAAAACAACACACAAUGCACUUUAGGACUCCAGAACUUCAAAAUUUCAUUUAAAAUUUGACGAAAGACACGAUAACAAUUGCCGUGUUUAUUCUAUUAUGUACAAAACUUAACGGAGGAUUUCGUGCCAAAGCAUCAAAUUAAAGUGGAACUUCUUUAAAACGGCCACGAAAAUCAAGACGUACAACUCACUAAGCUUUCGUUCGUGGCGUAGAACGUGGCUUUUAUCAUAAAGCGAAUAUAUUUACGAGGUAAAUAUAGGUAAAAGGCGGGAUUUUCACUGUAGUACCAAAGUAGGUCGUAUCUGUAGGUCCAAUGGGUAGGUUAUGUUUCAUUGACGUCGCCUUAAAGAAAUCUUUGGUUUCUUUCGUAUAGACUAAGAAGCCUUUUAUUUCAUCCCGUUAUUUUCUCAGUAUUUGUCCAAAGUGGUGUAGGGGACCAGGACUCUCUCCCACAAAAAUACAGGGGCCUUGCUGGGCUGCAAUGCAUGAAAAGUAGCGCCCCAGAAAAACAGAAUACAAUGAAUGGCGGAAACUUUCUUGAAUUAUAACAGCCACGCCUAUAGUGAUAUUGUAUUAUUUAUAAUUGAAUGGGAUUGUUUAAUCAUGAACUACAAAACUGCGAAGGAAAUGAUGACAAAAACGACCUUUUUGUUUUCGGAGAGUGCCCAACCAAUCAAUAUAUAUAAAGUAACGAAGACAAGGGAGAAUUUUUCUGUAUUUCAUAAAUUGGUCAGCGGUGGCAUAAAAAAAAAAGCUUUUGACGUAAAUGAUUGACAUUUGUGUAAAGCCGUCUCCUAGGAAACAAAUUGAAACGCGCCGUAGACGUUACAAGAAACUGUAAUAUUGUUUCAAGUCGCAAGACAGAAUUAUUUUUCUUUUAUCGUUAGUUAUUCGUUUUACUAGUAUUAACACAACUUACCGUAGCCUUAGGCCCGGUCUAAGGCUUAAAAAAAUGUUAUAUAAAUUUUAUUUUGACCACGUAGUUUUCAAUGGUGAGGAAUAGCCGCAGUCGCAGCACGUGUGCCGGAUUUUAAUCGUUCAAUGUCGGAAUGAAAAGAAAAGCAAACCAAACUUCUUCGUUUUUUCCUUGUAAAUGGCGAGUGUAAAACUCUUCGCUUUGUAGGUCCGUUUAUUUUUUCUUUCAAACCAUUUGCCUUUCAAAUUGGGAAUUUUCUGAUGUCUCUCUCAGUCCGGCUUAAGACAAUGGUUACAAAGAGGCGAGCCUUUGCAGUCAAACAAAAUCGCACGUAACAAAUCAGUAAUAACAUGUAUCGUUUUGUAACAUUAUGCAGACGAUUGUACUGUUGUAAAACACACGCAUGGAUCAUAGAUUAUUUUUGAUGUGAAAAUAAACAUUAAAUAUUCAGUA